rnacentral:rRNA from 1 species
AGCAGCCGCGGUAAUUCCAGCUCCAAUAGCGUAUAUUAAAGUUGUUGCAGUUAAAAAGCUCGUAGUUGAAUUUCGAGAUCAAAUUGUUGGUCGUGCCUCGGUACGUACUGGCAUUAUUGAUUUCUCCCUUCUGAAGAACCACGAUGUCAUUAAUUUGGUGUCGUGGGGAAUCAGGACUGUUACUUUGAAAAAAAUUGAGUGUUUAAAGCAGGCUCACGCUUGAAUACAUUAGCAUGGAAUAAUGAAAUAGGACGUUUGAUUUCUAUUUUGUUGGUUUCUAGGAUCGACGUAAUGAUUAAUAGGGAUAGUUGGGGGCAUUAGUAUUCAAUUGUCAGAGGUGAA